rnacentral:tRNA from 1 species
GGCCCCGUAGUUCAAUUGGAUAGAAUGACAGAUUCCGGUUCUGUUGGUUGCAGGUUCGAGUCCUGCCGGGGUCACCA